CACGUAGGGUGCGAGCGUUGUCCGGAAUUAUUGGGCGUAAAGAGCUCGUAGGCGGUGUGUCGCGUCGGCCGUGAAAACCUGCAGCUUAACUGUGGGCUUGCGGUCGAUACGGGCAUCACUGGAGUUCGGCAGGGGGAGACUGGAAUUCCUGGUGUAGCGGUGAAAUGCGCAGAUAUCAGGAGGAACACCGGUGGCGAAGGCGGGUCUCUGGGCAGUAACUGACGCUGAGGAGCGAAAGCGUGGGGAGCGAACAGG
rnacentral:rRNA from 1 species